rnacentral:rRNA from 1 species
GGACCCGCACAAGCGGUGGAGCAUGUGGUUUAAUUCGAAGCAACGCGAAGAACCUUACCAAGUCUUGACAUCGGAAUGACCGUCCCGUAACGGGGACGUUCCCUUCGGGGCAUUCCAGACAGGUGGUGCAUGGUUGUCGUCAGCUCGUGUCGUGAGAUGUUGGGUUAAGUCCCGCAACGAGCGCAACCCUUAUCCUUAGUAGCCAGCAGUUCGGCUGGGCACUCUGGGGAGACUGCCAGGGAUAACCUGGAGGAAGGUGGGGAUGACGUCAAAUCAUCAUGCCCCUUAUGAUUUGGGCUACACACGUGCUACAAUGGCGUAAACAAAGGGAAGCGAAGGAGUGAUCUGGAGCAAAUCUCAAAAAUAACGUCUCAGUUCGGAUUGUAGUCUGCAACUCGACUACAUGAAGCUGGAAUCGCUAGUAAUCGCGGAUCAGAAUGCCGCGGUGAAUACGUUCCCGGGUCUUGUACACACCGCCCGUCACACCAUGGGAGUUGGUAACGCCCGAAGUCAGUGACCCAACCGUAAGGAGGGAGCUGCCGAAGGCGGGACUGAUAACUGGGGUGAAGUCGUAACAAGGUAGCCGUAUCGGAAGGUGCGGCU